rnacentral:rRNA from 1 species
CCAGACUCCUACGGGAGGCAGCAGUGGGGAAUAUUGCACAAUGGGGGAAACCCUGAUGCAGCGACGCCGCGUGAGUGAAGAAGUAUUUCGGUAUGUAAAGCUCUAUCAGCAGGGAAGAAAUAGCGACCUUUGGGUCGCCAGACGGUACCUGAUUAAGAAGCCCCGGCUAACUACGUGCCAGCAGCCGCGGUAAUACGUAGGGGGCAAGCGUUAUCCGGAUUUACUGGGUGUAAAGGGAGCGUAGACGGCAGCGCAAGUCUGAAGUGAAAGGCGGGGGCCCAACCCCCGGACUGCUUUGGAAGCUGUAUGGCUGGAGUGCAGGAGAGGUAAGUGGAAUUCCUAGUGUAGCGGUGAAAUGCGUAGAUAUUAGGAGGAACACCAGUGGCGAAGGCGGCUUACUGGACGACAACUGACGCUGAGGCUCGAAAGCGUGGGGAGCAAACAGGAUUAGAUACCCUCGUAA